rnacentral:rRNA from 1 species
UACGUAGGGUGCAAGCGUUAAUCGGAAUUACUGGGCGUAAAGCGUGCGCAGGCGGUUAUGUAAGACAGAUGUGAAAUCCCCGGGCUCAACCUGGGAACUGCAUUUGUGACUGCAUAGCUAGAGUACGGUAGAGGGGGAUGGAAUUCCGCGUGUAGCAGUGAAAUGCGUAGAUAUGCGGAGGAACACCGAUGGCGAAGGCAAUCCCCUGGACCUGUACUGACGCUCAUGCACGAAAGCGUGGGGAGCAAACGAGG